rnacentral:rRNA from 1 species
UGGGGAAUAUUGCACAAUGGACGGAAGUCUGAUGCAGCAACGCCGCGUGCGGGAUGACGGCCUUCGGGUUGUAAACCGCUUUUUCUCAUGACGAAGUUUUUUGACGGUAGUGGGGGAAGAAGCACCGGCUAACUACGUGCCAGCAGCCGCGGUGAUACGUAGGGUGCGAGCGUUGUCCGGAAUUAUUGGGCGUAAAGAGCUUGUAGGCGGUUUGUCGCGUCGAUAGUGCAAACUCAGUGCUUAACGCUGAGCCUGCUGUUGAUACGGGCAGACUAGAGGAAGGUAGGGGAGAAUGGAAUUCCCGGUGGAGCGGUGGAAUGCGCAGAUAUCGGGAGGAACACCGGUGGCGAAGGCGGUUCUCUGGGCCUUUCCUGACGCUGAGAAGCGAAAGCGUGGGGAGCAAACAGG